UGUGAGAUUGUUUGGCCUCUCAAGACGCAUGUGGAGACCCAUUCUAAUGCCAGGUGUGAACGGACAUAGUUAAAGCAGUCCACUUGUGUUCGGAUCUCUAAGUACGCAUGUUAAUGUCAGGUCUGAACAGGGCCUAAAUGUCUUGAAGUCAAUGC